rnacentral:rRNA from 1 species
CUGACGAGUGGCGAACGGGUGAGUAAUACAUCGGAACGUGCCCGAUCGUGGGGGAUAACGGAGCGAAAGCUUUGCUAAUACCGCAUACGAUCUACGGAUGAAAGCAGGGGACCGCAAGGCCUUGCGCGGACGGAGCGGCCGAUGGCAGAUUAGGUAGUUGGUGGGAUAAAAGCUUACCAAGCCGACGAUCUGUAGCUGGUCUGAGAGGACGACCAGCCACACUGGGACUGAGACACGGCCCAGACUCCUACGGGAGGCAGCAGUGGGGAAUUUUGGACAAUGGGCGAAAGCCUGAUCCAGCCAUGCCGCGUGCAGGAUGAAGGCCUUCGGGUUGUAAACUGCUUUUGUACGGAACGAAAAGACUCCUUCUAAUAAAGGGGGUCCAUGACGGUACCGUAAGAAUAAGCACCGGCUACUACGUGCCACAAGCCGCGCUAAUACGUAGGGUGCAAGCGUUAAUCGGAAUUACUGGGCGUAA